GUCCACGCCGUAAACGAUGAGUGCUAGAUGUAGGGAGCUAUAAGUUCUCUGUAUCGCAGCUAACGCAAUAAGCACUCCGCCUGGGGAGUAUGACCGCAAGGUUGAAACUCAAAGGAAUUGACGGGGCCCGCACAAGCGGUGGAGCAUGUGGUUUAAUUCGAAGCAACGCGAAGAACCUUACCAGGUCUUGACAUACUCGUGCUAUUUCUAGAGAUAGGAAGUUCCUUCGGGGACACGGGAUACAGGUGGUGCAUGGUUGUCGU
rnacentral:rRNA from 1 species